rnacentral:rRNA from 1 species
GUAGGUGGCAAGCGUUGUCCGGAAUUAUUGGGCGUAAAGCGCGCGCAGGCGGGUUCUUUAAGUCUGAUGUGAAAGCCCACGGGCUCAACCGUGGAGGGUCAUUGGAAACUGGAGAACUUGGGUACAGAAGAGGAAAGCGGAAUUCCACGUGUAGCGGUGAAAUGCGUAGAGAUGUGGAGGAACACCAGUGGCGAAGGCGGCUUUCUGGUCUGUAACUGACGCUGAGGCGCGAAAGCGUGGGGAGCAAACAGGAUUAGAUACCCUGGUAGUCCACGCCGUAAACGAUGAGUGCUAAGUGUUAGGGGGUUUCCGCCCCUUAGUGCUGCAGCUAACGCAUUAAGCACUCCGCCUGGGGAGUACGGCCGCAAGGCUG